rnacentral:rRNA from 2 species
UACGUAGGUGGCAAGCGUUGUCCGGAUUUAUUGGGUUUAAAGGGUGCGUAGGCGGUCUUAUAAGUCAGUGCUGAAAUAUCCCGGCUUAACCGGGAGGGUGGCAUUGAUACUGUAGGACUUGAGUAGAGUUGAGGUUGGCGGAAUUGACGGUGUAGCGGUGAAAUGCUUAGAUAUCGUCAAGAACACCGAUAGUGAAGACAGCUAACUAAGCUCAAACUGACGCUGAGGCACGAAAGUGUGGGGAUCAAACAGG